AUUCCAACAAACAAUAUAUUUCCGUUUUUCUCUAUCCCUUUCAACUAAAUAAUUUUUGACAUAAUUAAAAUUUUUUGUGAUCUGGAACAAGAGAUUAUCGCAGAUUUGCGGAUUUCAAGUUAAGCGUUUUGUAAGAGGUGAUUACGAAGGUGAUUUGUCUUAGGGUUCGGAGAAGUGGAUGAAGGUUUUGCGACUUGAUUUUCAUCUUGCUAGAAAACCCUUUAGUGGCUUCUCUAAUGGUGGUUCUGAAUUCAAGAUGGAGACGUUGAUCCCUGCUGCACUAACAAGUUUCAAGUUCACAAAAAAAAUCAAAAGAGAGGGAAGAUUAAGCACUGACUGAUUAACAUAAAUAUAUUUGUCUUUUUAUUUAUCCGAGAACUCCUUUGUGGUUUUGUUGACAUUUGGUCGGUGUUGGUGAUUUGUAGGGUCUGGGUUUGAAGAAUCUUGGGAAUACAUAUUUUCUGAAUUCUGUAUCGCAAUUUUAGACAUACACUGAGUGCUUAGAUGCUUACUUUCUAGAUGUUGGCAAUGUGAAACGCUGUAUGUUGCAUUUAUAAGCUGGUUUGAUUAAUUGCUUGGCUUGGUGGGUCUUUUAUUCAGUGUCUAAUUGGAUGUUCUCAUGAAAACGUUUGUGUAGUCCAUGUGACUGGGUUUUGUGCUUUAUGUGCAAUUCAGAGGCAUGUUAGGACGGCCCUUCAAGCUCCUGGCAGAAUAGCAGCACCAAGUCUCAAACUUAGGAGGAUCUUCUUUGAGGAAUGAGAGGUGUCAUUGUCAAAAAUGCCGAAAUGAUGAAAACAAUGAUUUUCACAAAAAUUCCAGUGGAUGUCGAUCAUAUGCUUUAAUUGGAGGAUAACAAUCAAUAAACACCUCAGCUUUUGUCUAUCAUUUUCAUAAGAUUUUUUUGUUUCACUCAUAUAUUUGUGUACCUCUCAGCUUUCCUGAUGUUAAAGAGCAGGAAACUUCAGCAGUUGAUUA